CAGUAGCCGCGGUAAUACGUAGGUCCCGAGCGUUGUCCGGAUUUAUUGGGCGUAAAGCGAGCGCAGGCGGUUAGAUAAGUCUGAAGUUAAAGGCUGUGGCUUAACCAUAGUACGCUUUGGAAACUGUUUAACUUGAGUGCAAGAGGGGAGAGUGGAAUUCCAUGUGUAGCGGUGAAAUGCGUAGAUAUAUGGAGGAACACCGGCGGCGAAAGCGGCUCUCUGGCUUGUAACUGACGCUGAGGCUCGAAAGCGUGGGGAGCAAACAGGAUUAGAUACCCCCGUAGUCCCUGUCUCUUAUACA
rnacentral:rRNA from 1 species